rnacentral:lncRNA from 1 species
UGGGGAUGACUAUGGGGAUGACUAUGGGGAUGGCCAUGGGGAUGACUAUGGGGUGGCCAUGGGGAUGACUAUGGGGUGGCCAUGGGGGCAACCACGGGGAUGACUAUGGGGGCAACCAUGGGGUGGCCAUGGGGAUGACUAUGGGGUGGCCAUGGGGCGGCCAUGGGGAUGACUAUGGGGUGGCCAUGGGGCGGCUAUAGGGUGGCCAUGGGGAUGACUAUGGGGAUGGCUAUGGGGUGGCCAUGGGGAUGGCUAUGGGGACAGCCAUGAUGGUGGCUAUAGGGUCUAUGAGGCGGUAAUGGUGUGGCUACGGGGUGGCCAUGGGGGCCACGAGGUGGCAAUGGGGGCGGCUAUGGGGCAGCUAUGGGGCAGCCAUGGGGCAGCCAUGGGGCGGCCGCCGUCCGCACCUCGCUUGAUCCAGACGUGGUGGCGGAAGCGGGGCGGCAUGCUGGCCAGGAAGCGGCAGCCCUCGGCCGUCUCCACCUCGUGCAGGUUGUUCCCGGGGCUGCCCAGCACCUGCGCGGCCAGCGCCGAAUGCGGGACCCCAAAAUCACACCGGGACCCCGUUGUACCCACAGAGACCCCAAAAUCCCCAUAUGGACCACAAAAUCCCAUAGAGACCCCAAAAUCCCACGGGGACCCCAUUGUCCCCACAGAGACCCCAAAACCCCCAUGUGGACCCAAAUGACCCCAUAGUCCCCAUAGAGACCCCAAAAUCCCACAGGGACCCUGCUGCACCCACAGGAAACCCACAAUCCCCAUAGAGACCCCAAAACCCCAUGGGGCCCCACUGUACGCACAGAAACCCCACAAUCCCCACAAAGACCCCAUAACCCCAUAGAAACCCCAUAUCAGCCUUAUUGCUCCUAUAGAGACCCCAUAAAGACCGCACAGAGACCCCACAGAGACCCUAUUAGCCCCAUAGAGACCCCACUGCCCCCAUACAGACCCCAUAGAGAUUUCAUGCCGACCCUAUUGCCCCCAUACAGACCCCAUAGAGACCCCAUGCCGACCCUAUUGCUCCCAUACAGACCCCAUAGAGACCCUAUUGCCACCAUACAGACCCCAUAGAGACCCCAUAUGCCCCAUAGAGACCCCAUAAAAUCUCAUAGUGGCCUUAUUGCCUCUAUAGAAACCCCAUAGAGCCACUAUUGCCUCUAUAGAAACCCCAAACCGACCCCAUAGAGACCUCAUAGUGAUCCUAUUGCC